CCGGUGGGACUCCAUUUGAUGGUGUAGAUUUCUUUGCUGUGGGCCUGCAGGUCAUGGACACACGAGUCCUGCUUCAUACUCCAGAUCUGAGGACACACAAAACCACACAGCAAGCUCACCUUCAACGUCAUGUCAUCUGAGCAGGAGGCGAGCAGGUUUCCUGUGGGGUCCCACUUGAUUGCAUUUACUUCAUUCUGGAGGCAAAGAAAAGAAGGAUGAGGAAAUGCAGGUGCAAAGUUUCAAACUAACUUCGAUCAAAUAUUUAUUUGAACAGUGACAGUCAAAGUUUGUACGAUUUCUCUUUUGGCUGCAUUCAGAUGUUCCACGUCAUCACCGGGGAGGUGCUGCUUACAAACACACACAAACCACUUACUGUGUGUCCCUGGAAUGUUUUAAUGGGUCUGUCUUGUCCCAGUUUACAGACGUGGAUGCACAUGUCUGUACUACAAGAGGCAAACGUAUUGUUGCUCUGCCAAUCCACGUCUAGUGCUGGAGCUGUGGGUGACAGGAAGAGCAACGUUAGAAAGACGAAGAGGAAACAAAGACAGCAGAGCACAGUGGCGAAGAUGGGACCUUUGUGUUGGCCGAGAGUACUGGCCAGGUUACCUGUGGAGCAAAACACACAGAAAGGCAACACAAUCUUGAGAGGCCAGUGUUAAAGGAAAGCAGAAGAAAAGAGGACCGAGGACUCACCCUGAUGCCAGCAGAUCACUGACUGGGUUCCAGGCACAGAUAAAGACCUCUGACUCGUGGCCCCUCAAGACCAUGGCCUUGUUCUGAGGGAUCUCCACGUCUCCGUCCACUUCCAUCAGGUCUGCGUGGUUGUCUGAGAACACAGUUUGAUUGGUCAGACACACAAAGGACACAACCAUCAGCACAACAGGGUUGUCUAAUAAUCAAACUAAUGUGUCCUUAAUAUAUUUUCAGUUUCGAGAAUAAGAAUGCGUGACUCGUUUGAGGUUCGAUGCUCAUGAACCACAGCUGUAUCUCCCACUACAAAUUACACUCCCUGCAGCCUCUUUUGUGAAGUUUUGAGAACAAGAACCUGUUGUUUCCACACAGCUUUGCUUGGUGUCCCCAAUUCUAUAUGUUAUACGCACUAUGCACCCUGGUGCAAACACAAGGAAAUGCGUGUCUUUACAGAUGCUGCAGCCAGGUUAGCUUUAUCUGUGUGUACCAUCACAUGGAACAUCAUGUGACAAAAAUAAGACCAAAAAUUCAUGGUGUGAAAUAAGAAAGGAGAUUAAACUAUCAGGUGUGGAGCCUGUUUAGUGACACGUUUCGUUAAAAGAUGUGAACUACUACACAUUUAUUGCGGACGGACACAGCUAGCAUGUGUUAAAGUAGCUGAACUAGUUACUUUAUAGUUACACAUUUAGAUAAUUUAACUGUUAACAUCGCCAUAGUUGAGCAGCUGAAUAGUCUAGGCUUUGGAAAGCAUAGACUGUGUUUAAAUGUGUGCUACAAAUAAACUUUAUUUACUUCACAAGGUGGACAAAAUGUCCAAAUCGAUAUAAACUGUCCUGGCUAAUAAAGAGCAACUUAAUCAUA